ACAACCUCAGAGUGGGCGCAAAUCUUAGUUCUGAAAGGUACUUGCUGUGAGACCUGGGUAUGCUCAUUAAUAGGCACAAGCUUCAAUUUCCCAUCAGCAAAAGAAGGGUGAGGCUCAUUUUUUGUGAUUGUGGUCAGCAUGCAAUGUGGAUGAGGCAUCAGUCCAUGUGAGCACGUUUCUCUGAACGCUGGCUUCUUCCCUGCAUUCCAGGAGGCAGCAGAACUUGCAGAGAAGAGUGAGGCACGUUUGAGAAAGGCUGAAAAAUGUUUCUGUCCAGGCACGUGUGUGUGCUGAAUGACUCAAGGAUUCUUUGGGCAACAUGAACCAACACCAGCCUGUGAGGAACAGGCGACAGCCACUCGAACGCCGACGCAUGGAGCAAGCCUGGAGCAGCGAGGACGGGCACUGUGAGGAGGGCGUGCAGCCAAGGCCGCAGUCGGACCUGGUCAGAUCAGAGGAGGGAGGGCUGCCAGGCUGUGGGCGAGGAUGAGACACUGGAAAAGAGCAGAGAAGAGGAGGCUGCCACGCUCUGUUUCCCAAAGUCUCCCCAGGAACAAUGAUGUCACUUACUGAAAUGACAGACUCUCCAUUUCAUGUUUUCCCCCCAAGUGCAGAGUACAGGGAAGCAGAUGGGCUAAGUUUUUAGAGUUAGGGUUAUUAAUGUUUACUUAGUAAAAUUCACCCUUUUAAGUGUGCAGGCCUGAGGUUUGCCAAAUAUACGUAGGCAUUUAAUCACCACCAUGAUCACGAUGUAUAUUUCCACCACCCCGACAAAGUUUUCUUGUGUCUCUUCAUGGGCAUUGCCCAUUUCCCAGCCCUAUCCCCUGGAAACUACUGUCUGCUUUGUGUCCCGGUGGUUUUAUCUUUUCCAGAAUAUCACAUGAAUGGAAUCAGAUGUAUGAAAUCCUAUAGUAUUGGGUCUUCUGAGUCUAGCUUCUCUUAUUUAGUGUAAUGCAUUUGAAAUUAAUCCAUGUCUCAGGCAUCAGGAGUUCAUUCCUUUUUCUGCUGAGUAGUAUUUCAUUCUAUGAAUAUACUGCAGUUUAUCUAUCCAUUCACCUGGUGAUGUACAUUUGAGAUUUUUGGCAAUUAUGAAUAAAGCUGCUAUGAACAAUCA